rnacentral:rRNA from 1 species
GAUGAACGCUGGCGGCGUGCCUAAUACAUGCGAGUCGAGCGAACGGACGAGAAGCUUGCUUCCCUGAUGUUAUCGGCGGACGGGUGAGUAACACGUGGAUAACCUACCUAUAAGACUGGGAUAACUUCGGGAAACCGGAGCUAAUACCGCAUAAUAUUUUGAACCGCAUGGUUCAAAAGUGAAAGACGGUCUUGCUGUCACAUAUAGAUGGAUCCGCGCUGCAUUAGCUAGUUGUUAAGGUAACGGCUUACUAAGGCAACGUUGCAUAGCCGACCUGAGAGGUUGUUCGGCCACACUGGAACGGGGACACGGCCCAGACUCCUACGGGAGGCAGCAGUAGGGAACCUUCCGCAAUGGGCGAAAGCCUGACGGAGCAACGCGGCGUGAGGGAUGAAGGUCUCCGGAUCGUAAAACUCUGUUAUUAGGGAAGAACAUAUGUGUAAUUAACUGUGCACAUCUUGACGGUACCUAAUCAGAAAGCCACGGCUAACUACGUG